CGUUUCCUCUAAUAGGCUUUAGUCUUAGUUCCUGUAGCCUAUCAGAAACCGGUGUCAUCAUUAUUGCACUGCAUGAGCCGGGCUGCAUACAGCUCAGGGCACAGACUAGAAGAGGUCUAUGUCCUGCACCGC